GAGGAAUUUUGCGCAAUGGGAGCAAUCCUGACGCAGCAACGCCGCGUGGGUGAUGAAGGCCUUCGGGUCGUAAAGCCCUGUCAGGUGGGAAGAAUGUCCCGGGACUGAACAGGUUCCGGGAGUGACGGUACCACCAGAGGAAGCACCGGCUAACUCCGUGCCAGCAGCCGCGGUAAUACGGGGGGUGCAAGCGUUAUUCGGAAUUACUGGGCGUAAAGCGCGUGUAGGCGGUCCUGCAAGUCUGAUGUGAAAGCCCCGGGCUUAACCCGGGAAGUGCAUUGGAAGCUGUGGGACUUGAGUACUGGAGAGGAUGGGGGAAUUCCCGGUGUAGAGGUGAAAUUCGUAGAGAUCGGGAGGAAUAUCAGUGGCGAAGGCGCCCAUCUGGACGGUAACUGACGCUGAGACGCGAAAGCGUGGGGAGCAAACA
rnacentral:rRNA from 1 species